rnacentral:rRNA from 1 species
UGGGGAAUAUUGCGCAAUGGGGGAAACCCUGACGCAGCAACGCCGCGUGAAGGAAGACGGUUUUCGGAUUGUAAACUUCUUUUGUCGGGGAAGAUAAUGACGGUACCCGACGAAUAAGCUCCGGCUAACUACGUGCCAGUAGCCGCGGUAAUACGUAGGGAGCGAGCGUUAUCCGGAUUUACUGGGUGUAAAGGGCGAGUAGGCGGGAUAGCAAGUCAGAUGUGAAAACCCGGGGCUCAACUCCGGGCGUGCAUCAGAAACUGCUGUUCUUGAGUGAUGGAGAGGCAGGCGGAAUUCCCAGUGUAGCGGUGAAAUGCGUAGAUAUUGGGAGGAACACCAGUGGCGAAGGCGGCCUGCUGGACAUUAACUGACGCUGAGGAGCGAAAGCGUGGGGAGCAAACA